rnacentral:rRNA from 1 species
UACGUAGGCAGCAAGCGUUGUUCGGAAUUACUGGGCGUAAAGAGUGUGUAGGCGGUGCUCCAAGUCUGGUGUGAAAUCUCCCGGCUCAACUGGGAUGGUGCGCUAGAAACUGGAAUGCUAGAGGAUGGGAGAGGUAAGCGGAAUUCCUGGUGUAGCGGUGAAAUGCGUAGAUAUCAGGAGGAACACCUGUGGUGUAGACAGCUUACUGGACCAUUUCUGACGCUGAGACACGAAAGCGUGGGUAGCAAACAGG